CAGUAGCCCAUUCAUUUCUAGUGAGACUGUCAACCAUGACGGAUCAGGUACUGAUCACUGAUGUCGAUGUGUUCACUGACCUCGACGAUAUAACAUUAUCACAGGCCGUAGAUAAGUAUGAGUAUGAACUUGAAGAUAGUGACACGGUAGCUACUGACAUUGGAAUAGUUGAUACCAAGGAAUUAACUCAGCCAAUUGUUGUAAAUGAACUGAAUGGUAAUGUGAAAAACAUGUGAAAGGCUGUAGGAUUCGAGGGAAAUUACAUAAACCAUUCCGGAAAGAGGACCUGCGCUACUUCCCUUUACCAAGCAGGUUUUGAUGAACAACUCAUUAUGGACAGAACGGUACAUCGCAGCAGGGCUGUACGUGCAUACAAGAUGAAGAAAGAAGACGGAAAAUUUCUAAACGGCACUCGUAUUUCAUUAAAUUUUGUUUGAAAUGCA